GCGCUGGGCCAGUGCAGGCCGAGCCCUGCGUCCCUGCCUCGCUGGGUGGGGGUCCGGGGCGCGGCUGUCCACAGGGCCGCCUCCUCCUGCGGCCCGCGGGGAAGGGGCGCAUCCCACCCCGCUCUGCAGGCCGCCCUUCUGCCAGCUGGGAGGCGAGGGCACACGUCCUAAGCCUGCCCAAGGGGGGAGAGGAAUCGCGCCGGUAGGAGAGCGCACGGGAACCAGGAACGCAAGGCGGGCACAGGGGAGCCGAAGGAGCCAGACAGGGCCCGGCCACGCGCCCUCCUCGCUCGGCUGCGCUCCGUGACGGGAACCCAGGCUCCCACGCACGGGGAAUGCCUAGAACGGAGCUAGAAUGGAGGAAAACCAGUUUGGCUAUUAAGGGAACCUGUCGACACAGAGCAGAGCAAGAUAAGGCCAGGUUUCAGAAAGAAUAGCUGUUUACCAUCAAAGCAACUGG
rnacentral:antisense_RNA from 1 species